CUCAUUAUCAUAAGACACAGACACCAUUUGACAUUACACUUCAUACAGUGAAGUAUAAUAUCAAUAAACUACAAGAUCCAGAAAAUGUGGACUUUAUUAUACACAGCCCUUGUCUUCCAAGUGGCCCGAUGUACAGACAGCAAUUUAUUUGUGACAAGAUUUUAUGACCCUGGAGAAACAGUGACUCUCAGAUGUCCACGUUCUGUCAAAUUUCCAGAGUCACCAACGUUUCACUGGAUCAGAGUUCUUUCUGGAAAUGUCCCAGAAUUUUUAGGAGGAACUUUCUCAUUUGAAUAUAAAAGUGUUAACACGAAACCUCACACUGAGACAAAACAAGGAGAUGGAACAUUUGAUCUGAUCAUACUUCAGUCUACUCUCAACGACACUGGAUUUUACUACUGUGUGAAAGUAGAAGACCUUAAUAUGGAACUAGUAUUUGGAGUAUUUCUAAGCAAUAAUGGUAAAAA